CCUACGGGUGGCUGCAGUGGGGAAUAUUGCACAAUGGGCGCAAGCCUGAUGCAGCCAUGCCGCGUGUGUGAAGAAGGCCUUCGGGUUGUAAAGCACUUUCAGCGGGGAGGAAGGCGUUAAGGUUAAUAACCUUGGCGAUUGACGUUACCCGCAGAAGAAGCACCGGCUAACUCCGUGCCAGCAGCCGCGGUAAUACGGAGGGUGCAAGCGUUAAUCGGAAUUACUGGGCGUAAAGCGCACGCAGGCGGUCUGUCAAGUCGGAUGUGAAAUCCCCGGGCUCAACCUGGGAACUGCAUUCGAAACUGGCAGGCUAGAGUCUUGUAGAGGGGGGUAGAAUUCCAGGUGUAGCGGUGAAAUGCGUAGAGAUCUGGGGGAAUACCGGUGGCGAAGGCGGCCCCCUGGACAAAGACUGACGCGCAGGUGCGAAAGCGUGGGGAGCAAACAGGAUUAGAUACCCGAGUAGUC
rnacentral:rRNA from 1 species